rnacentral:lncRNA from 1 species
ACCAAUUCCUGUUCUACUUCUCCAACAUGGUUGUUAACAGCCAGGUCCACCUGCCGCCAGCCCAAACAUCGUCUGACAGCCCCAUCACUGUUAGAGAAUCUGUUAGGCUAACAUUUCCUAACAGGCACGCCUGUUAGCCGCUGUUAGACCCCCUAUGAGUUGGUAGGGAUUGUUCUGGAUGCUGUGUGCCAGGUGCACAAGUAAGGUCAGUGUAUGGUGGUACACCUUCUAGUUCCAUCUGAGCCCAAGAUGCCUACCUUCAUUGUCACAUACACGGGUGAGGUCAACAGCACUCUGUGUGCUGCACAGGUGGUGUUUGGUGGCACUGCGUCGGCAAAGUACCUGGCAGGACAAGGUAACGAAAUGCCAAGGACAGAAUGGGCCCAAUGAAUGUGCUGGACAAACAGACCACGGCCUAUAAGUACAUCAUCAGCUGUCAUGACACAUGUAUGUAUGUAUGUAUGUAUUAGAUUACGCUGUGGGCAACGAGACCUGGGGGCCAAAGUCGAAACACAUUGUAAGAGUCAUACCCAUGGCACAACUCAGCCGAACAACCCUGCCUCAGCCGAACUGAGCCGUUCAGCAGCACCUCCAUGGGGGAAAGGUGUUGCAGUGAUAAUGAGCUCAAAGUGUAUUAUCAAGUCCCAACUGAACAAAACCCAGCUAGGGCAAAGGCUAUUAAGUAAAUCCCAACCAUUCCCCUACCAAAAGCAAGGCCAAAGGAAAUGGCUGGGAUGUCCUGGAUGUCCUGGACGNGGGUAUGUAUGUAUGGCACCCUGUAGCACACUAUCAGUGUGCUGCACUGUGCAGCUAGA